GGCUUGUUGGCGUAAUGGUAACGCACUCCAUGGUGAUAUGCAGCAUUCGCAUAUGGUUUAAUGGAAAGUCCGGAGUUUGAUUCUUCAUCAAGCCU